GCAGGCAUUCGCUUGAAUACAUUAGCAUGGAAUAAUGAAAUAGGACGUUUGAUCUUAUUUUGUUGGUUUCUAAGAUCGACGUAAUGAUUAAUAGGGAUAGUUGGGGGCAUUAGUAUUCAAUUGUCAGAGGUGAAAUUCUUGGAUUUAUUGAAGACUAACUACUGCGAAAGCAUUUGCCAAGGAUGUUUUCAUUAAUCAAGAACGAAAGUUAGGGGAUCGAAGACGAUCAGAUACCGUCGUAGUCUUAACCAUAAACUAUGCCGACUAGGGAUCGGAUGAUGUUAAUUUUUUAAUGACUCAUUCGGCGCCUUACGGGAAACCAAAGUGUUUGGGUUCCGGGGGGAGUAUGGUCGCAAGGCUGAAACUUAAAGGAAUUGACGGAAGGGCACCACCAGGGGUGGAGCCUGCG
rnacentral:rRNA from 1 species